GACGAACGCUGGCGGCGUGCUUAACACAUGCAAGUCGAACGGAAAGGCCCUGCUUUUGUGGGGUGCUCGGGUGGCGAACGGGUGAGUAACACGUGAGUAACCUGCCCUUGACUUUGGGGUAACUUCAGGAAACUGGGGCUAAUACCGGAUAGGAGCUCCUGCUGCAUGGUGGGGGUUGGAAAGUUUCGGCGGUUGGGGAUGGACUCGCGGGUUAUCAGCUUGUUGGUGGGGUAGUGGCUUACCAAGGCUUUGAAGGGUAGCCGGCCUGUGAGGGUGACCGGCCACAUUGGGACUGAGAGACGGACCAGACGCCUACGGGAGGCAGCAGUGGGGAAUAUUGCACAAUGGUCGGAAGCCUGAUGCAGCAGCGCCGCGUGCGGGAUGACGGCCUUCGGGUUGGAAACCGCUUUCGCCUGUGACGAAGCGUGAGUGACGGUAAUGAGUAAAGAAGCACCGGCUAACUACGUG
rnacentral:rRNA from 1 species